CAGGCCUAACACAUGCAAGUCGAACGCCCCGCAAGGGGAGUGGCAGACGGGUGAGUAACACGUGGGAACGUACCCUUUGGUUCGGAAUAACCCUGGGAAACUAGGGCUAAUACCGGAUACGCCCUGAUGGGGAAAGGUUUACCGCCGAAGGAUCGGCCCGCGUCUGAUUAGCUAGUUGGUGGGGUAACGGCCUACCAAGGCGACGAUCAGUAGCUGGUCUGAGAGGAUGAUCAGCCACACUGGGACUGAGACACGGCCCAGACUCCUACGGGAGGCAGCAGUGGGGAAUAUUGGACAAUGGGCGCAAGCCUGAUCCAGCCAUGCCGCGUGAGUGAUGAAGGCCUUAGGGUUGUAAAGCUCUUUUAUCCGGGACGAUAAUGACGGUACCGGAGGAAUAAGCCCCGGCUAACUUCGUGCCAGCAGCCGCGGUAAU
rnacentral:rRNA from 1 species